CCCAAUUGGGUAGCUUUGACAAUCAAAUGGGUGGGUAUAAAAAGGCAAGUAAUUACAAUGCUUAAUGACGCACAAUGGCUGCUUUGGCACUGUUGGAAGAUUUGGCGAAUGAAAGAAUUCGGAGAGAGUGAAUUUUCAGAGACCAGCAAGAUUUACUGGCCAAUGAUUAUGAGUGGCUUAUGAGCCGGGUUCCGAUUACCAAGAGCUGUUCUCUUGGAUUUCUGUGCUCUAGUGGGCCCAGCUUACAGAUAAUCACCCGCAGAAACCAAGCCAUGCCUGUACCACUUCAAGUCCUGACUACCCUCGGAUUUCUGGCAACCGGCACUUUUUGAAGGGAAUUGUCUGACAGGUCAGGUAUCUCUCAGCCAACCUUUAGCUGUGUUAUGCCAGCGUGUUAAGUGGUAUAAUUGGAUUGACACAUCUCUACAUAAAGUUUCCUUACACGUGGCUCGGUGGCCUUGGUCAACCCAUGACUCAGUCAUAUGAAGAAACGGCAGUGUUGGGCGCAGACUUGAGGCCAGAGCUGUGCAUGAUGGCUUGCUUCUAGAGCGCAGAGGAGAGGAACUACAAUGUGCGUCAUUGCCAGGUACGCGCGGUUGUGGAGCGCACCAUCGGGCUUCUGAAGGGCAGAUUCCUCAGGCAGAAAUCUUUUAUACAUGCCUGAAAAGGUCUGCAACAUUGUGAGGGCGUGUGCUGUGCCACACAUAAUGUGGCACAGCUAAGGAAUGUGGCUUUACCCCCUGUUGCUGUUGGUUGUGUUGGCCCCGCCCUCGACCCCUAUCCCCAGGCGUUUGACCAAACGCAGCUGCCGUGCACCAGUGUGUGGAUGUGAUGCGUAGCUUGAAAACACAAGGACUGCAUCUGUGAGAACACGGCCGCUGGAGGGUUGUGACGCACGAGGUGCAGUGGAGACACCGGGGCUGGGCGCACUCUACUCCUGAUCAGCU